CGCAGGGGCAUUACGCCAUAGGGGGCGGCGAGUGAAGCGGCAACAGCUCAAAUUUGAAAUCUGGCUCUUUCAGAGUCCGAGUUGUAAUUUGCAGAGGGCGCUUUGGCUUUGGCAGCGGUCCAAGUUCCUUGGAACAGGACGUCACAGAGGGUGAGAAUCCCGUACGUGGUCGCUAGCUAUUGCCGUGUAAAGCCCCUUCGACGAGUCGAGUUGUUUGGGAAUGCAGCUCUAAAUGGGAGGUAAAUUUCUUCUAAAGCUAAAUAUUGGCCAGAGACCGAUAGCGCACAAGUAGAGUGAUCGAAAGAUGAAAAGCACUUUGGAAAGAGAGUCAAACAGCACGUGAAAUUGUUGAAAGGGAAGCGCUUGCAGCCAGACUUGCUUGCAGUUGCUCAUCCGGGCUUUUGCCCGGUGCACUCUUCUGCAGGCAGGCCAGCAUCAGUUUGGGCGGUGGGAUAAAGGUCUCUGUCAUGUACCUCUCUUCGGGGAGGCCUUAUAGGGGAGGCGACAUACCACCAGCCUAGACUGAGGUCCGCGCAUCUGCUAGGAUGCUGGCGUAAUGGCUGUAAGCGGCCCGUCUUGAAACACGGACCAAGGGAGUCUAACAUCUAUGCGAGUGUUUGGGGUGGUCCAAGCCCGAGCGGCGUAAUUGAAAGUGGAACGGGAGGUUGGGAACCCCGCCAGAGGGUGGCACCCGAUCCGACGCGAUCGCUGGGAAGUUUUACCGGAAGAGGUGAGUUUUGGAGGUAAGGGGGGCAAUGGGGCUUGG
rnacentral:rRNA from 1 species